rnacentral:misc_RNA from 1 species
AAGAAACUAACAAUAUCUCUAGUACAUCACAAACAAAGAAGAAAUCAGUCGGCCAAGAAGGGGAAAAGAAAGAGUGCGCCACGACUGUAAAGCCAUAAAAAUCUAAUCUUCAACAACAACCUACCUUUCACACACUAAAACCAGGUUCAAAAAGAAUGACACAGAUAAUUUGCUAGCACACAUCAUCCUUUCAUCAGAAUUAGUUUUUCUCUCUUUUUUUUU